AACGAACGCUGGCGGCAUGCCUAACACAUGCAAGUCGAACGAGACCUUCGGGUCUAGUGGCGCACGGGUGCGUAACGCGUGGGAACCUGCCCUUAGGUUCGGAAUAACUCCCCGAAAGGGGUGCUAAUACCGGAUAAUGUCUUCGGACCAAAGAUUUAUCGCCAUUGGAUGGGCCCGCGUUGGAUUAGCUAGUUGGUAGGGUAAAAGCCUACCAAGGCGACGAUCCAUAGCUGGUCUGAGAGGAUGAUCAGCCACACUGGGACUGAGACACGGCCCAGACUCCUACGGGAGGCAGCAGUGGGGAAUAUUGGACAAUGGGCGAAAGCCUGAUCCAGCAAUGCCGCGUGAGUGAUGAAGGCCUUAGGGUUGUAAAGCUCUUUUACCCGGGAUGAUAAUGACAGUACCGGGAGAAUAAGCUCCGACUAACUCCGUG
rnacentral:rRNA from 1 species